rnacentral:lncRNA from 10 species
UGGGCCUCCCGGGGUGCUGGGAUUACACGCGUGGGCAACUGCGCCCAGCCCUUGUGUACCUUAUGUGAGGAAGUCCUGCUCAAUCAGGAUCGGUCACGCAGGCCCUGAUCUUGCUACUCUGGUUCCAUGUCCUAUGGAAGACCAAAGUUUACCAAGAUAGAUUUUUCCCUUCAUAGUGGCAGAUACUGUUAACCCCUGCACCAUCUAUAACUCAGAAAUCCCCACCAUUUCUUCCCCUGGGCUUCAGAAUAGAAUUGCCUGGUUUCUCUGAUGAUCAGCACACUUCCUUAAAACCCAAAUCAGCAAGGAAUGAACAAUUUUGUUUGGCAUGGAUGAAAUUAGCACUGUUUGGCUCGGUAGGCCCCAGACAGGCAGGCACCUUAAUUUUUUCCUUGCAUAUUCUAGUCUUCAGAAGCAUUGCCUUUUGUCCUACUGGUAGUGACAUAGAUCAAUAACAGGGCAUCUGGGGAUUUUAAUCCUGAAAACAGUGAGUCUGAUACUGCUUGUGUUUUUCAUCAGUGUCCACCCCGAGUGGGUCUUCCUGCUAUUCUCUUCACUUAGUUGCCCCUCACUUGCCAUCUGAGCAAUUGGCAAGGAUGUGCCAGGCCUAGGUUAAACUUGGAAACAUGCUUGACCAUUCUAUUCCCUGGUCCUUUAAGAUCAGUUUGGCUGCAAUUUUGGCUCCUUGGACCCUCAAGCAUAGCUGGUAAAUCAAGUUAGAGAUGUAACUGCCUUAAAACGUGCCAGCUUAGGCUGGGCGCGGUGGCUCACGCCUGUAGUCCCAGCACUUCGGGAGGCUGGGGCAGGCGGAUCACCUGAGGUCAGGAGUUCGGGACCGGCCUGACCAACGUGGAGAAAUUCUGUCCCUACUAAAAAUGCAAAAUUGGCCGGGUGUGGUGGUGCAUGCCUGUAAUCCCAGCUACUUGGGAGGCUGAGGCAAGAGAAUUGCUUGAACCCAGGGAGGCGGAGGUUGCAGUGAGCCGAGAUCACGCCAUUGCAUUCCAGCUUGGGCAACAAAAGCAAAACUCUGUCUCAAAAAAAAAAAAAAGUGCCAGCGUAUGAGGUAAUUAGAUUGGUUCUCUCCAGAGGUAACCUGCCAAGAAGAGAUGCUAUA